CUGCCGCCGUGCCAUUGAGGAGAAGACCGUCCAGUCACUCCGAACAGGUGAGACAGAGAGAUCUGCGGCUGAGCCGGGGUUCAGCCACCUUGUCCAGCCGCGCUUGCGUCACCGGUGCCGCCUUGAUCGGAAUUACCGCCGUCAAAAAGGGGUUUCAGGCCGCCGCGGGUGUCGCUGCCGGAGAAGAGAGCUGCAUCUAUGUGAUUCUGACCGCCAGGGAUGGUCUUGUGACUUCCGGGAUUGCUGCCGGAGCUCCGGGCUGAGCUUCUGCCACUUGAGACCCUGCUGCCGUCGCCAGAAAACUCUGCCGGCGCCAUUGCCGGAGUCCGGUCGCCGCUACUACUUGAGGUGGCUGCCGGGCUGCUGCGAAACCAGUUCAGAGAUUGCCGCUGUUUUGGUUCAGCCGUUCCUUUGGUUCGAGUCGUUGUGGUUGCUGAGAAAACGGUUUGGAGCUGUGGUUUAGUAGCCGGGAUUUUGAUUGUUGAUUUCGGGUCAAGGCGGAAAGGACUCUGUGAUGCGUUUGAGUUAUGGAAUCUGCGUUUUGAGCAAAACAAUAUUUUCAAGGCUUGUGAGGAGAAGUACCAAUCAAGAAUAAAUGCACUUGAAACUCUUGCGGCUGGGGCCACCGAAGAGAAUAAGGUAGUUUCUUUGUUGAUUGAGCUGGGGGUGUGGAACUUUGCUGCAGGGAAUAAAAAUGCAUAUGAGUUCUGUUGCUGAGAAGGUUUCUUUACAGCUUGAACAAAGUAAGUUUUGUCGAUUGCCAAGCUAGAGCUUUUCAGGAAUUGAGAGCUGCAAUGAAGUCUGUCAAAAAUGAAGUGUUAAAAACAAAAAGAAGCUACUUAGAGGAUUUCAAGUACUUUGCAGGUGCUGAGCUUUCAAAUGGUAAAGUGGCUGAAACAAAAGUUCUCAAGCAUUGAGAAGGAAGAAUAGAAAUACCAGAAAUAAUCUAUCCUGGCAGAGUCUAAAUUGUAUUGCUCUCACGCCUGUAAAAUAAUUCUGUUAAUAGUGUCUACUUAGUGUUAGUGUAUAUAUCACUGUAUAAAACUGAGAUUGAGACAAGUGUAUUCACUCAUCUAUAUUGAUAUGUUAGUUGGUUGUUUUAA